UACGAAGGGGGCUAGCGUUGUUCGGAUUUACUGGGCGUAAAGCGCACGUAGGCGGAUCGUUAAGUCGGGGGUGAAAUCCUGGAGCUCAACUCCAGAACUGCCUUCGAUACUGGCGAUCUUGAGUCCGGAAGAGGUGAGUGGAACUCCUAGUGUAGAGGUGGAAUUCGUAGAUAUUAGGAAGAACACCAGUGGCGAAGGCGGCUCACUGGUCCGGUACUGACGCUGAGGUGCGAAAGCGUGGGGAGCAAACAGGGAUUAAGAAACCCU
rnacentral:rRNA from 1 species